AUUUGUUUUUAAAAUAACAAUUUUUCUCCACUGUCAAAUGCAAACAAUCCAAAUUUCAGUAUAAUGCAUUAACCCUUUUGGACAGUGCUACAAAUUGAAGCAGAAUUCACAUUUGCACUAAUUUUCAAUAAAUCAUUAUUUCAAUUAUCAUUAUCACAAGUAAAUGAAUCUAAGUAAUACGCGAUUGUAAAAUUAUGAGUGUCCCUAUGUAUUUUCCGUGUUUAGUUGUCCAAAAUCUUAUGAAACAGCUAAUUGUUGACACUAAGCGCUAUCAAUCCCAACAAUAUGGUUUCAAACCAAGUUUUAAAAUUAACUAUGGACUUGAUGCCAUGCAAGUGGUUGCACUACAUCAUUAUCCAGAGUUAGUUGAUCAGUGCUGUGAUUUGGUGAAUUCUGAGUGGAAGCGCAGCCGGACUGCGAGGAUGCGGAGCUUUGAGAGCUCCUGUGACAAGCUACCCACGAAUUUAGUCCUUGUGCAAGAAGCAAAUGUCAUUGGCCACUCAAAACUUUCAGUAAUUCCAUCCAUGCCAGAUGCAUGCUUUCUGGAAUCAGUUGUUAUUGACAAGGAGUUAAGAGGCAAAGGAUAUGGAAAAUAUUUGAUGAAUCGGAUUGAGGAGCAUUGCCGAAGAAUAGGUUUGCGCAUGAUAUUUUUAUCAACCAAAGACAAAGUGGAAUUUUAUGAGAAAUUAGGCUAUGAUAUGUGUGGCCCGGUUUCGAUAUAUGGACAAUAUGUUCGAACGCAAAUGCCAAGUUCUGUUAGACCAAUGCCGCCAAAUAUAGGUAAAAACGGUUGUGCGGCGACACCGCAACCGGCACCACCGCCACCUCCUCCUCCACCAGAAUUAUACAAUGGUGCAGAUCCCAAAAAGAAGAAUUUUAUGAGUAAGGUGUUGUGAUGAACAAUGUUUGUCUUUUUGCACAGUUACUUAAUACCGUCUCCUGUCAAGUACAAUUAGCACAUCCACAGACUUCAAAAUGACUUGUUAAGCCCUCUGGCAUGUUCUUUGAUCACAAGAAACAGAAAAUUGUUAAUUGUUUAGAUUUGUGGAAAAUCAAGGGUCUAAUGGUGUCGCUGUCAAAUUUGCGUUUAAGUGCUUAUACGUAUUGUUUUAAUACAAAUUUACUUUUAUUUUAAAGUUAAUAAAAUUUGCAUACACUAAAAA